ACAUCCAAUAGAUGUGUUGAGAGGAUGAAAGCGGGGUGUCGGGUCGGGGCUUACUGGGAGGGAAUAUUGAGUCAGCUUCAGAGAUGGAGCUACCCAAGAAGGGGCUCCUAAGGCCACAUGAAGGGAAAGUUUCACUUCAGAUCAUAAUGCCGAGAUGCAGAUGGAUUAAAGCUGUGGCAGAGCACCCCACAUCGGAUGAGGGGGUUCCCGCAGGAAGGGUCGGUGCUGUUCACUGCAGGCUCUGUCGCAGCAUGAGUCCAGCAGCUGGGUACCCACAGAGGUCCUGCUGGGGUAAUGUCCUGGGUUGCAGUGUAUUCUGUUACCAUCCUCAUGAGCUGUUGAAACCAGGUGGGGCAGUGUUUCCUUG